rnacentral:rRNA from 1 species
CCUACGGGAGGCAGCAGUGGGGAAUUUUCCGCAAUGGGCGAAAGCCUGACGGAGCAAUACCGCGUGAGGGAUGAAAGCCUGUGGGUUGUAAACCUCUUUUCUCAAGGAAGAAGUUCUGACGGUACUUGAGGAAUAAGCAUCGGCUAACUCUGUGCCAGCAGCCGCGGUAAUACAGAGGAUGCAAGCGUUAUCCGGAAUCACUGGGCAUAAAGCGUCUGUAGGUUGCCUACCAAGUCUGCUGUUAAAGAUCGGGGCCUAACCCUGAGAAAGCAGUGGAAACUAGUAGGCUUGAGUGUGGUAGAGGUAGAGGGAAUUCCUGGUGUAGCGGUGAAAUGCGUAGAUAUUAGGAAGAACACCAACGGCGAAAGCACUCUACUGGGCCAUAACUGACACUGAGAGACGACAGCUAGGGGAGCAAAUGGGAUUAGAUACCCCAGUAGUCCUAGCCGUAAACGAUGGAUACUAGGUGUUGCACGUACUUAACCGUACGUCAGUAUCGUAGUACGUAAGGUACGUUAAGUUAGUCCCGUCCCGUCGGGAAGGUACGCGUCGCGAGAGUAGAAACGUUAAAGGUAAAGUUAGUUACGGCGUGAGAGUGCCGACGGACGACGACGAGGGAGGAGG